rnacentral:rRNA from 1 species
ACGCUGGCGGCGUGCCUAACACAUGCAAGUCGAGCGAGGAGAUUCCUUCGGGAUGAUCCUAGCGGCGGACGGGUGAGUAACACGUGGGCAACCUGCCUCAUAGAGAGGAAUAGCCUUCCGAAAGGGAGAUUAAUACCUCAUAACAUUGCAGUUUCGCAUGGAACAGCAAUUAAAGGAGCAAUCCGCUAUGAGAUGGGCCCGCGGCGCAUUAGCUAGUUGGUGAGGUAACGGCUCACCAAGGCGACGAUGCGUAGCCGACCUGAGAGGGUGAUCGGCCACAUUGGGACUGAGACACGGCCCAGACUCCUACGGGAGGCAGCAGGUGGGAAUAUUGCACAAUGGGGGAAACCCUGAUGCAGCCAACGCCGCGUGAGUGAUGACGGCCUUCGGGUUGUAAAGCUCUGUCUUCAGGGACGAUAAUGACGGUACCUGAGGAGGAAGCCACGGCUAACUACGUGCCAGCAGCUGC